rnacentral:rRNA from 1 species
UACAGAGGGUGCGAGCGUUGUCCGGAAUCACUGGGCGUAAAGGGCGCGUAGGCGGCUCGGUCAGCGUGCGGUGAAAGCCCGGGGCUCAACCCCGGGUCGGCCGUGCGAACUGCCGAGCUGGAGCACUGUAGAGGCAGGUGGAAUUCCGGGUGUAGCGGUGGAAUGCGUAGAGAUCCGGAAGAACACCGGUGGCGAAGGCGGCCUGCUGGGCAGUUGCUGACGCUGAGGCGCGACAGCGUGGGGAGCGAACAGG